rnacentral:rRNA from 1 species
UAGGUGGUUUGUCGCGUUGUUCGUGAAAACUCACAGCUCAACUGUGGGCGUGCGGGCGAUACGGGCAGACUGGAGUACUGCAGGGGAGACUGGAAUUCCUGGUGUAGCGGUGGAAUGCGCAGAUAUCAGGAGGAACACCGGUGGCGAAGGCGGGUCUCUGGGCAGUAACUGACGCUGAGGAGCGAAAGCGUGGGGAGCGAACAGGAUUAGAUACCCUGGUAGUCCACGCCGUAAACGGUGGGUACUAGGUGUGGGUUUCCUUCCUUGGGAUCCGUGCCGU